rnacentral:lncRNA from 1 species
UUUGUUAUAUCAAUCAAAAGACAGUUUAAAGUGAAUUGCAAGCUGAAUCAACUUGAUACGUUUGUUUCCGCCUCUCGUAUUGAGCAAAAACUCUUCUGAACGACUCGUUUGGUCGUGAAAACGAUCCUACAUAAAGUGGCGUAAACCACUUUAAUAAAUCAUAACGGGUCAAGACACCUUUUAAUACUUCCAAAUCAGAAUGUAUGGUUUAAUAAACCAUAUUAUACGAGAUCCUUCGCUCGUUUGGUUAAUAAACCAAAUUCUAUCCGAUCUUCCGUUUAAGCCGCGACACACACUAACCUUAAUUAUCCAACCAAAUUAGGAAACACUUGAAUCACUUGAGCUUUGCAUACACAUUUGAGCGAGACAUCUACGCAAACCUGUGUUAACACGUGCGAUGAUUAUUCAAGUAUGCUACACAUAGGAACGGACUCAGGCCUUAGACUUCUUUAAAUUAAAAACAAUUACUUGUACUCUUUGUGUUGUAAAAUAAUGCUAUUAAUGUAAUGAAACUUUUAGUAACAUUUGUUGUGAGCAAUUUGUAACGUGACUCCACGAUGAUUCCACCGUGGGUUGUUUUACGCGGUCGGGGUCGUGUUCUGAUAGUGCACUGA